GUACCACCAAUCCAACAACCCUCCAAAGCUGCUACACCAACUCAACCGACCCUAAAAGGACCAAGUAAUGUUAGAUCUUCGUUUGAAGUCGGGAGUUCUUCUGCUCUUGGGGGUUCUUCUCCUCCACAACCUACGCAUGAUGUUGCCUCUUUGAGGCUUGCCAGGUUUCUUGCUCAACAAGAUUCAGAUCCUUUACCUCGUGGCAAAUGAAGUUUAGGGGGAGCAGGCCCAUCUAUCUCAGAGCUCAAGGAGGAGAUCACUGAUGAAGAAGACCUGAGUCCAUGCUAGCUCAAACCAAGGGGGAGAUUGUUAGGUCAUAAUUUUGUGGUUUGAGCUUGGCAUUCAUCUUGUAUAGGUCUUGGUCGGGUCUUGGGGUUUGUUAUGUUGGUUGUAGUAUGUUAGCGAGUGUGUGCGGCCAUACAAGUGUGUGCGGCUGCACACUCUGUGUGCGGCCAUACACGCAUGUGCUCCUGUACACACGUGUGCGGUUGUAUACACGUGUGCGGCUGGUGGUCCUAUAAAUAGAGUGUGUCUGUGUCAGUUGUAAAGAGACGUCAGUGACGUAUGUGUGUGUUUUCCUAAGGUGUACCUGACAUUUAUUUGAUAUAGAUGUGUGCAUGCUUGGAUUAAUUCUUCUUCUACUCCUUCUACACUCUAUUUGAUGUUUGCCUUAAUUGAUCACUGAUUUGGAUCCAUUAGAUUUGGGACUUACAAUUGGUAUCAGAGCCAAUUCAGUGUCAAUUUUGAAGGAACUUUGAAGGUGUGCGGUUGGAGUUUGAAGGUGUGCGGUUGAGUGUGUGGCUAAGUGUGCGGUUGGAGUGUGCGGUUAGAGUGUGCGGUUGAGUGUGCGGCUAAGUGUACGGUUGGAGUGUGCGGUUGAGUGUGUGAUUGGAGUGUGCGGUUGGUGUGUGCGGUUGGGACCCAGGCUUGUAAUGACCUGGGUCCCCAAAUCUAAAUAAUCUCGCUCAUUGUGUAGGAACAGCUGUGGAGGAAUGUCGUUAAACCUUGGUAUAUCGACAGCGGUUGUUCCAGGCACAUUGACAGGAGACAUCUCCCAACUGCACGUCAUUCAGAAUUUUAAUGGGGGCUAUGUUUCCUUCACAGGAGGAGACGGAGGGAAGAUCACUCAAAAAGGAAUAGUUGUAAAUGGAGUGCUGAGUUUUGAGAACGUCAUCUACGCUCCUGAGUUAAAGUAUAGCUUGUUGAGUGUCUCACAGAUCAGCUUAUAGACUACGGAUAAUGAUAUACGGUUAAGCAGUGAAGACCUCGAUGCAAUAGUGUUUACAGAGUGUUCCAUCGAGUUGUACCUGACGUUUUUCUGAUAUAAACGUGUGCAAGCUCGAUUUCUUUUCAUCUUCUUAUUCUAUUGCUGCUUGAUCAUUGACAAAAGGAGUUAGUGGUGUUCUCAAAGUGACGUCUCCAACUUUUGAUCAGAUGGCCGACACCUUUCAACCGAUAUGGAUACAACUUCAAGGAUUCCUCCCCUUCCAUUUGCUAUUCCAACUUUAUUGCCAUUUGAUGAGUGAUCAGAUACUGACACAAACCUCCCAGCCUCUUGUGAAAACAAGAUGACUUGAUCAGAGGCAGGGAGAUCUUAUCCAAGAACAAGUACCACCAAUCCAACAACCCUCCAAAGCUGCUACACCAACUCAACCGACCCUAAAAGGACCAAGUAAUGUUAGAUCUUCGUUUGAAGUCGGGAGUUCUUCUGCUCCUGGGGGUUCUUCUCCUCCACAACCUACGCAUGAUGUUGCCUCUUUGAGGCUUGCCAGGUUUCUUGCUCAACAAGAUUCAGAUCCUUUACCUCGUGGCAAAUGAAUAUCAAUAGGUGAAGGAAGUUUAGGGGGAGCAGGCCCAUCUAUCUCAGAGCUCAAGGAGGAGAUCACUGAUGAAGAAGACCUGAGUCCAUGCUAGCUCAAACCAAGGGGGAG
rnacentral:lncRNA from 1 species